AAUUAUACAAUGAUUGUUUGUGCAUAAAUUUAUUAAAUUAGAAAAACCUAUAAAAAAUCACAGAGGUUAAAUUUUAGCCGAUGGGGUGAAAGUGAAAAGAUCACACCUUUACACCAUAACACCUUUGAGCAAAUCCUGCGGAGAAAUCUUCCGGCAAGGUUACACGGAGAAUUCUUCCCGCAAGUGUACAUGGAGCAAUCUGCAAUGUCUUCCCUUUAAUUUGUCCAUCUAUGAGAAAAAUGCAGGAUUUUUUGAUGCAGACAAGUGAAGGUACACAAAGAAUUCUAUCAGUUCUGCGUAGAAAGCUCGAUCAACACGAGGUUGCCAAGGAGGUUAGUUCGUACUUCAGUUCAAGGAAGAUGGUAAGGAAAGGAAUUGUAAAGUCAUUAAGGGCUGCACAGAGCUUUGGAAAGAAAUUUAACACAGAUUCCUCGAAUGAAAAUCAUGAAACUAUUUCCUUUUUACGCAUUUUGGAAAAGUCACAAACAAUAUCUGUUUAUGUGCUCAAGUCCUUGUUCUCUUAUGUGUCUGGUUCAAGGAAACCAUCAGAGACAAGCAAAUGGUCUUUGUUUUCCAAACUGAUCCAUUCCAGACAAGAGCAAACAGACGAAGAGGAUCACUCGAAAAGAAAUAAAUUUGAAGUUGUUGACUGUGCUCUUCACAUGCUCACGAGGCAGAAGACAAUUACAUGUAAUAGGGGUGUGCUGAUCAAAACAUUGAGAGGCCACUUAGAAGACCUUCAGUCAUUAGUUCUAGAUUUUGAAAAGUCAAUAGAGUGCUUGUGCAGGCUUUUAAUCAAGUCUAGAGUGAUUCUUCUUAAUAUACUCAACCACUAAAUAUAUGUGUAGGCUUCUUAAUAUAUGCACCUUGUAUGCGAAAAUACAUUAUUAUUUUUCAAUUUGGUAAGAGACAUAUUUCACAUGAAUGAGACAAGGUUUAUCCAUGUCCUUCCACUUUCUACUCUUGUGUUACUCCCUCCGUCCCUAAAAGAUUCCCCCAAUUUCCUUUUUGGUCCGUCCCUUUGAGUUUGCCCCAUACCAUUUAUAGUAUGUGGUCCACUGGUCCUCACAUGUUUCCUCUCACAUUCUAUUAUUUAAAUUAGCAAAAUGACAAAAUUACCAACCCACUUGAUUUCCUUUUGCCUCCAUUCUUAAUAAAGUGAAAAAUGUUGUUUGGGGAAAUCUUUUAGGGACGGAAGGGAGUAUUUUGUAUAAUCUGGCUUCCUGGCUUCCUGCUGCAGUUGGUAGAUACUUUUGUUUCUUUACGUGCUUGGGAAACGGGAAGUUUCAGAAUGUCAUGAUAAUGGAUGAUGCUUAAAAGACAAAAACUUCGCUUGCUGCAUCUCUUGCUACAUCAGAGUAUUACAUGGCCAACCAUUCUAUUUAUUCAAGCCGUUUUCAUCACAAUAGAAGUCCUCUUAUUGCAUGGUAUCCGUCUUGUCUGCUGCUUAACUUCUGCCUGCAGUCAUAUCUAAUUAUCAAUGAGCAAGGUUAUAAAAAGAAGAUUCAGAAUGUUAAGAAGAUUACUCUGUUCUUGACAAACUCCAGAACAAGUAUUCUAGUCCUUCGUCCAAGUCCUGAUGAUUGAUUCAAAUUGCAUCAUCUGACUUCUUAAAGCUUCAACUCCUAUUGUCCUAUUUUGGUGGAGCUGGGAUCUUAUGGCAGCAUGGGUCUCUUCGAAUUCUCCAAUACAUGCCACCUCUGGUUCGCACACGAUCUGCUGGUUUCUGAAUCUAGAAAUCAAUGACCAUCUACUUUUUCUUGAAGGAGCCCUUCGUACCAGCUAUGUAUGAUAGCAAGGACUGAAGGAUGUUGGAUGCUCUUAAUGGAAUAUGGGACAACAAUGACUCUAAGACAUCGACUGUUAUAGCUUCUACAUCUUUCAACAUACGCUAAAUGAGUAAAUGGCAUUGGAUUUGCCUUUUCUACUAGUCUCGUCGAUAAUAUUUCAAGGAUUGUUUUCUUGGCUCUAUAAUUCUGGUGCUCAAUUAUAGAACUUAAUUGGCAAUAUGCAAUUGGCUGCUGCACCUUCUGCGCAGAAUUGACUGUAUGUCUUCGAGCCUUUCCUUUGACUGUAGCAAGACAUCCUUAGAUGUCCCAUAAAUGGCAAGGAGCCUUGGAGAUCCAUCCAAAACCUCCUCAACCCAUUUUUGUUUUGGGAUAGGAUUUGAAGGCAUUUGAAGCAACUCAUCAACACAGAUAUACAAAUCAUUAAGUCCAGCUUGUGACUUAGUUAUGAGGAUGAACAUGUAAAGGCAGCUUGACGAGACCAUAAUCUGCAUAAACGUUCAUGAAAUUGAUCGGAGACUGUGCGGUUUUGAUGUCAAACUGAUAUAAGAAGUAAGAGGAUUUGGAAACUGGAGAAGCCAUAAUUAUUUCGAUGGGGCUAAAGCAUAGAAUUCAAUUGCAAGUCUAGGAAAAAGCUUCAAUAUGGAGGAACGUGUAAUAUGAUUAACCGUCUUGCUUGAACAAUGUAUUAACUGUACCCAGUCUGGCCUUAUCGUUAUUCACCUUCAUCCUUCUACAUCAUAUAUUAUGGUAAAUGGCAAAGUCCAUCUAGUUAUCAAUUAUCCAUGCUCAGAUCCUUUAUGUUUAGCCAGAUGAGCUGUGGUUUAAAUGGUUGUGUGCAACAUCGACUUUCAGUCCAGAGUCUCUAGCUUAUGCUCAACACCCAUGACUCUCUAUUAUCAGGCAAAGGUGAUUCUGUGUGUGUACUUGUCUUAGAAGAUAUGGCCUUAAUGCAGAAAGCUAUUGUGAGGGGAUAAUAUAUAAGCGAGCUGUUUAAGAGCUUCACUUGGACUAUCAGUAGCUUGGAUAUCUCAAUAGCAACAACAACAACAAAAUGUUCAUAGUUUGUGGUCUACAUUUACUGCUUACUAAGACAAGUUACAGCCUCAGUAAUAUCUAUUGUAAGAUACCGUGGGAGUCAUAUCUGCAAAAAUUUAGUAUUACUAACACAAUGACACAAGUACAUAGAAGAACUAGGGAAAAUUAUAUUCAUUGAUAGUGCACUUUCAUUUACAGUUUGUAGCUUUGUACAUAAGCUUUUGAGUUCCAGACUCUAAUUACUGAGGAUGUUGAGUAGGAUUGCUCUUGUCCUAACGAGAUGCCUAAACAAGCAUUCCAAUGCUUCAUCGAGAUCUUGAAUUUCCGACUCCAAUUUUCCCAUCUGGCCUUUUAUAUUCUCUACUUGUGACAUAUUGAUGCCUUGUUUCUUCUUCUGGAUUAGCAAAUUCAAAGUACCGUCAACAAUUUCAAAUUGGCUGAUGGAUUCUGCUGCUUCCGUGUUUCCAGUCUUUCCACUCUGGUUGACUAUUUUGGCAACUACAGACCAACUACUUCUCUGCGAUUGCAACUUUGCACCAGCGAUGUAGGAUAGAAAGGACUUCAAGGUAUCAAUUGUUAUUGCUUCAGCGUCUUUCAGCACACUCACUAUGGAAUUGGCCUCAACAUUUUUGUGAGCUUCCUUGAUAUUUUUGAAGCACUUUCUGAUGGUCUUCUGUGCUUUCUUUCUAGUGUUAAGAUAUUCAGCUACUUCAUUGGCAAUGCUUAAUUCACCGCUGCUCCUUCUGCGUAGCACUGAUUGUAUGUCCUGCAACUGCUCUUUUGACUGUAGCAAGACAUCUCUGGAUGUGCCACAAAUCUCCAGCAGCCUCAGAGAUCCAUUCAAGACCUCCUCAACGGAUGUUGUAUGUAGAUUUUUGGAUAGAACUAGUUGAUUAGAAGGAAGUUGAAGCAACUCAUCAACAAACUCGUACAAAUCUUUAAGACAGUUAAGUCUGUGGCUUACUGAUGGUGAUGAAGUUGUGGCAGCUUGAGAAGACCUCAAUCUGCACACCUGUUCUUCAAAUUGACCGGUUUUUGGGUGAGCUCUUGAAGGCAAGCUUAUAGAACGGGCUUGGAAAGAGGAUUUUGAAACUUGAGAAGUCAUUUCUAAUUGUUUUGGUGGAGCAAAGGCUAAGAACUGCAAGUUUUGGUUUGGUGUCUUCUCUCCCUCUCCUAUCCUUAUAUAUCAAAAUAAGAGCAGACAGAAGGAAUCACAUAUUAAGUGCGAGGUAGAUGCUUCUUCAUGGGGUGGCAUAUGAUAUGAUUAGGCGUGUUGCUUGAAUAGAAUAAAAGCCGUUAGUUCAAGAGGGACUGAUGCUCUCAUGCAUGUGGUUUUGCCAGAAUUGGUCUUCAUCAGUCUACUUCAAUAUUACGGCUUACUAGGCAAAAUGGCAACACAAAUCAGCAGAGAAGUUUGCAGCACAUGCUCUUUUUUGUCAAGUCCAACGAACAAUUUAUCUGUUGCCACAAGUGUUAAAUUAAGUCAUACUGAUGAGGUCUCCUAGCCGCUAAAUCGAGUUUGUGAAAAUAUUUUCUCUCAAGUGAGACUGGCAGUCUAACCUGGCAUGAAGUUACUGAGAGAUACUCGAACUCAACAAGAAAUGAGCACAAAUAACAAAAUGACUAUCCUUUCGUGAUUUCUAUUUAAGGUUGUACUCUUCGUGCUAUUUUGUCGUAAUAUUAUUGUCGCAUUGUUAGUUUUCA